ACUCCUACGGGAGGCAGCAGUAGGGAAUCUUCCACAAUGGGCGAAAGCCUGAUGGAGCAACGCCGCGUGGGUGAAGAAGGUCUUCGGAUCGUAAAACCCUGUUGUUAGAGAAGAAAGUGCGUGAGAGUAACUGUUCACGUUUCGACGGUAUCUAACCAGAAAGCCACGGCUAACUACGUGCCAGCAGCCGCGGUAAUACGUAGGUGGCAAGCGUUAUCCGGAUUUAUUGGGCGUAAAGGGAACGCAGGCGGUCUUUUAAGUCUGAUGUGAAAGCCUUCGGCUUAACCGGAGUAGUGCAUUGGAAACUGGGAGACUUGAGUGCAGAAGAGGAGAGUGGAACUCCAUGUGUAGCGGUGAAAUGCGUAGAUAUAUGGAAGAACACCAGUGGCGAAAGCGGCUCUCUGGUCUGUAACUGACGCUGAGGUUCGAAAGCGUGGUAGCAAACAGGAUUA
rnacentral:rRNA from 1 species